rnacentral:pre_miRNA from 1 species
CUAGUACUCCCUCCGUCCGGAAAUACUUGUCAUCAAAAUGGAUAAAAGGGGAUGUAUCUAGAUGUAUUUUAGUUCUAGAUACAUCUCUUUUCAUCCAUUUUGGUGACAAGUAUUUUUGGACGGAGGGAGUAUGUU